GUGGGAUCCUGGUCUGGUUUUGGUAGAAGCACUCCCGAAUAGAUAAUUAAUUGGGACAAAACCUUAGACCAAAAACCAUCCAUUUUAACGUAAAAUUUAGGUUGAAAAAAAAACCUAGGUUUAAAACCGAACCAUUUAAGCUAAAAAACACCAUUUUUCUUAUUUAUAUCGCAAACUAAAAUUUAAACUUUAAUCAUAUAUCGUUAAUAAAAUUGAUAGAAAAAUACUAAGAUACUUAUAUGUUAAAACGUCAGACACUUUUAUUUAUCUAUCUAUCUAUCUGACUUGACACUUUAAACCUACGAUAAGAGAGAAACUGUAAGAAAACGAAGGAAAUAAUAUAUAUGGUUAACAAAAUAAUCAGAUUUUGGAAUAAUCGAUUCGGGAGGGGCGAGUACCGGAACCGACCCAAUUAUUUAUUUCUGCAAAAUCAAGGAGCCGGAUCUUUUAUAAAUGGUUUGGUCGAUUCGGGCCAGCCGGGUAGACCUGAACCGUUGACAGCCCCUUCAAGAACAUGAACGAUGAUGGCGAUUGUGCUGCAGCAAGGUUGGUAUCCCUUUUCCUUCUCCCUUCGGACCUGUACUUCGAGGAACGUUCUAGUGGGUUUGGAUUGUCAACUGCCGUAUCAGAAUGACUGCCAUAGGGCAUCGCCACUUCCAUGAGAUUGCGUCACUGGAGCAGAUUCAAAUGUUCGAAUUGAAGCAUUAGUCCGCCGAGGCCUUCCAUACGCUGGAGUGAAGGGCGUGAGCGCAAAGGAGACUCAGAAGCGAUACGGAUGUGGAUGCUGUACAGGCACGGAGAAUGCUCGACUUGUAGGCAAGUUCUCAUGGCUUUACUUUGAGGAAGCUGGUCCAAUCUUUCUUGAAAGCUUCUCAACUCUCAACUUCAUAGGGCAUCGCCACUUCCAUGAGAUUGCGUCRCUGGAGCAGAUUCAAAUGUUUGAAUUGGAGCAUUAGUCUGCCGAGGCCUUCCAUAGCUGGAGUGAAGGGCGUGAGCGCAAAGGAGACUUGGAAGCGAUGCGGAUGCGGAAGCAGUACAGGCACAGAGAAUGCUCGACUUGCUGGCAAUCUCUCACGGCAUUACUAUGAGGAAGCUGGUCCAAUCUUCCGUUUUUGGACUCCUCGAGGCGUUGUUACUUUUGGGGAGGGCUUUCCGACUAUAUCGCGCCAUACUAUUGUUUCCCCUUUCCGUUAAUAAUGUAAGUAUAUCUGACACAUCCCUUGCUUAAAGGACUUCUAUUUUCUUUUAAUUCCUUCAGAUAAGUGACUAACUAUUUCUCUUCCUAUUUUGACUGGUGGCUCGACCGGAAAUUGGCCGCCAUUCAAGAUAGGGCUGUCAACGGGUGGGAUCUGGGUCUGGUCUAGGUAGAAGCACUCCCGAGUAGAUCAUUAAUUGGAAUGAAACGUUAGACCCAAAACCGUCAAUUUUAACUUAAAAUUUACGUUGAAACAAAAACAUAGGUUUAAAGCCGAUCCAUUUAAGCUAAAAAACACCACUUUUCUUAUUUAAAUCGCAAACUAAAAUUUAAAGUUUAACCAUAUAUCGUUAAUAAAAUUGAUAGAAAAAUACUAAAUUACUUAUAUGUUAAAACAUCAGACACCUUUAUUUAUCUAUCUAUCUAUGAGACUCGACACUUUAAACCUAUGAUAAGAGAGAAACUGUAAGAAAACGAAGGAAGUAAUAUAUAUGGUUAACAAAAUAAUCGGUUUUGGGCGUGAAUCGAUUUGGGAGGGGCGAGUACCGGAACCGACCCAAUUAUUUAUUUCCUCAUAAUCAUGGAACCAGAUCCUUUAUAAAUGGUUGGGUCAAUUCGGUCCACCCAGGUAGACCUGAACCGUUGACAGCCCCAUCAAGAACAUGAACAAUGAUAGCGAUUAUGUUGCAGCRAGGUUGGUAUCCCUUUUCCUUCUCCCUUCGGACCUGUAAUUAGAGGAACGUUCUAAUGGGUUCGGAUUGUCAACUGCUGUAUCAGAAUGAAUGCCAUAGGGCAUCGCCACUUCCAUGAGAUUGCGUCACUGGAGCAGAUUCAAAUGUUCGAAUUGGAGCAGUAGUCCGCCGAGGCCUUGCAUACGCUGGAGUCCAGAAUAAGCCACUCUGACCCUCUUCUUCUUAAUUCACUUGUAAACUAUUUCUCGUCCACCUGUUGCUGAUUAGAUAUUCUUGACAGGUGAAGGGCGUGAGCGCAAAGGAGACUCGGAAGCGAUACGGAUGCAGAAGCUGUACAGGCACGGAGAAUGCUCGACUUGCAGGCAAGCUCUGCAAGGUCUCACGGGUUUACUAUGAGGAAGUUGGUCCAAUCUUCCGUUUUUGGACUCCUCGAGGCGUUGCUACUUUUGGGGAGGGCAUUUCGACUAUAUCGCGCCAUACUAUUGUUUGGGUUUGGACCUCCCCAAUUCCACUUGAUGGUGCUGAGUAAACUCUAGCCAGGCUCAAGCCCACCCUUGAUCCAUUACCCCUAAUCAAGCCCGAGCCCAACAUAGUCUAGCCCUCUUUGUAACCCAACCCAUCAAAGACCUAAC